rnacentral:lncRNA from 1 species
GGAACUACAACUCCCAGCAUGCCCCUCUGCGGUGGGCGGGGCCGGAGCCUGCGGGGACUGAGCAUGUGCGGGGGCGCGAGCCGGGGCCGGGCUGCAGGCGCGCGGCCACGGACUUGCAGGAGAAGUUGCAAGGCUGCACCGGGCACGGCUCGGGCUCGCUCGCUCGCUCCCUUUCUCUCCUUCUCUCCCUCUUUUGCUCUCUGGUGCAAGAGGAGGAGCCGCGGCACCGGCCGAGCAGCUGCACUAACGGCGGCGAGAGAUGUCUGUCAGCAGCUUGGUGCCAUCUCUGUCUUGCUUCCUCAGCAGAUGUGCAACCCGACGGCUGAAGAGGGAUUUAUGAUGGAGCUAACCAGGCUGGGGACGGGGCCUCCUUGUCGUUUCAGAUCAAUUCAGCAGACGUAUUCACCCUUUCCUUUCCCGAGUCAAGGUGUUUGUUCCUUCCAUGCUCCCAAAGCCCUCUCUCCUUUCCUGUUGGCACCCUGAGUUCAAUAUAUCUAAACCUGAACUCAUCUUCCUUCCCAAAUCCUGGCCCCUCCCUAACUUUCCCAUCUCAAUGGACAGCACUUCUUUGUGUCUGAAACUCACAACUUUGGCAUCUUUGAAUCCUUCCUCAGACUUUGGCUAGAUCCUACUGGUUUUUCCACCACAAUAUUUCCCAGAUGCGGCCUUUCUUCUCCAUCCAAACAGCCCUCCCCCGAUCCCGGCCCGGAACUUGACGUACCCCCACUACAGUACUGCGUCCUCCUCCUCACUGUACUCCCUGCCUCCAGCCUCUGCUCCCUGCAGUCCUUACUUCACUCUGCUGCUCAAAUCGCUGUUCUAAAAUGUCAUUCUGCAUACAUCUCUUCACUCCUCAAAAUCCUUCAGUGGUUCUUUUUUCCUCUCUGCAUCAAAUAAAAUAGUAAUCAUAAUUGGGGUGGUUGUUAAGCCCUUACCAUCUGCCAAGCCCUGCACUAAGCAUUGAGGAAGAUACAAGGUAAUCUGGU